rnacentral:lncRNA from 1 species
UUUACCAUGAAUUGUACAUUCAAGACAGUCAAUAACCACAGCACCAUGUAUGUGCGAUGGUACAACUAUGGGACUGAGGGACUAAAGAAAGAGUUGGUGAAUGAGAGCGAUGUGCUCACAACCCUGCAUUUGGACAAUGGGUUUGCCUCUCUCACUUUGAAGAAUGCGAAUUCAUCUGAUACAGGAACCUAUGUGUGUGAGGUGGGGAUCACAGCAAGGAACCUCUCUGGGAAUGGAACAGGAACCCAAGUGACCAUCGAGAAAUUUCCCAAGCUGAUGGUGAAUCAGACCCCAGUCAAUAUCCAUGCGUCAGAAGGGUCAGAUCUCACCGUGGAGUGUAGAUUCACGGUAUGGAAUAAACACAAGACCUUGUAUGUGAAAUGGUAUAAACAUAGCGGAACUGGGGGAACGAAGAAGGAGCUGGUGAGUGAAAGAGGCGGGGGGCCAGCAGCCCUGGCUUUGGAAAAGGGUUUUGCUUCGUUCACUCUGAAGAACGUGAAUAUAACCAAUACAGGAACCUACGUGUGUGAGGUGGGGAGCACAGCGAGGAACUGGUCUGCAUCAGGAGCCGGAACCCAAGUGACCAUCACUCAUAAAAGGAGCAAUGCCUCCCACGUUGUUUUCGUCAUCCGGAUGGUUCUCGGGGCCCUUGUUAUAAUCUCGGCGGUGAUGAUUGUUGCAGAGUGCGUGAUUUCAGAGAAGAGGGGUGAGUGAAAUGUCUUCAGUGCAGUCCCUGUGCAGAAUCAGCCACAGAGCUUGAGUUACACGCGAGGUCCUUCUGCCUUUUCCUUCUGGGCAACUUCCCAGUCCCAGUGCGUUGAAAUCGAAAAGCUGUUUCAGACCCGGCUGGGACUGUUUCCUUGGCCUGUCUGUUCUGGUUUCUGUCUAACCAGAAAUCCGGGUAUCUCAGAACUAGAAGCACAGAGUUUAGGUCUCCAUCUUGUAAAUGUUCCUGAAGGCCUUUACCUCUCAGGUCUCCCUUUCACAGCACCGAUGAUCUUUUCCUGUUGCUGCGUCUGUCCAACGUGCCCUGUUUAUUUCUGGCUGGCUGGCACGCACGGAGCUAAUGCAACCACUUGGACAAGUGUGCUGCACGUACUGCAGGAGUAUUCUUUAGGUUCUAACUUACUGAGUCUGAUUUUUCCCCACAGCUGGUGUCAAUCGGACAAUAUGAGGAUUAGCUGUUAUAGCGUACCCUUGGAGAUGGAGCUCUCAGACACCUGUUACCCAGGCAUUCCCCCAAACACCGUGUUGACCAACCAGCCUGUCAGAUUCUGCACCUGCAAAUAAACCUUGAACAGAAGGGAGGGGAUGCUGGAUA